rnacentral:tRNA from 1 species
GACCUCGUAGCUCAGUUGUUAGAGCAUUGGACUAGUAACUCAAAGGUCGCGGGUUCGAUUCCCACCGUGGUCA